rnacentral:rRNA from 1 species
GACGAAGGUGGCAAGCGUUAUUCGGAUUUACUGGGCAUAAAGCGCGCGUAGGCGGCUUGGCAAGUCGGGGGUGAAAGCCCGCAGCUCAACUGCGGAACUGCCUUCGAUACUGCCGGGCUUGAGGGCGGGAGGGGUGAUUGGAACUCCAGGUGUAGCGGUGAAAUGCGUAGAUAUCUGGAGGAACACCGGAGGCGAAGGCGAAUCACUGGACCGCUUCUGACGCUGAGGCGCGAAAGCUAGGGGAGCGAACAGG